AUACCAAAUUAAACUCAAUAUUUGAUCGAGAUUUUAUUGCUGAAAACAUCUGUUGUUACUCCACAACUUCGACCAAUAGAUCAAAUUACAGGAUUAGAAGAUUUAAUAUCCAUUUUGCUAAUUAAAAAAAAUCAACCUCAAACUCUGCAGAAAUAUACACUAAGAUCUACAAUUGGUGAUGGCAACUGCCUCUUCCGGACUGUGUCACUAGCUCUAUAUGGUGCUGAAGAUCAUCAUUUGUAUCUUAGGGUUCUCACAUCCAUUGAGAUGAUACUGCUCAAAAAUUGCUAUGAUUCAUCAUCCAAAAAUUAUGCACAAACAAUCACGUACACCAGAAUCGAAACACCAACGUAUCCGUACUGUUGCGUUCUGUCGUAUCUAUUGGUGGAUAUAGUGAACUAAUGCAUAUUUAUGCAUUAAGUGCUGCUCUUGCAAUGCCGAUUCAUUCUAUUUUUCCUGCUGAUAGCAGUUUCUACGAUUUUGCUCAUCCUUAUAAUGUAGUUGUUUACAGACAAGGAGUUAGAAAAGUAUUGGAUCCUGAAAUUGCAGUACUGUGAUACUGCAAUUUCAAGAUAUUUUUGUGGACUUGUGUCAGUGAAGAAAUAAAAGUAUACAACCAUAUUUUCUAUCUUACCAAUCGUCUAUCUGCAAGUGAGAUUGAUUUCAACAUUUUGGAUGAAAGUCUUUCAGGCAGAAUCAGAAGUGUUGCACCACUAGCCAAUGAAAAUAAUCUCACAUUAACCUUCAAUGACACAGACAUAUCAGACAAUAAAACAGAGCAAUAUUUACAAAAG